rnacentral:rRNA from 1 species
GACGAACGCUGGCGGCGUGCCUAAUACAUGCCAGUAGAACGCACAGUUUAUACCGUAGCUUGCUACACCAUAGACUGUGAGUUGCGAACGGGUGAGUAACGCGUAGGUAACCUGCCUGGUAGCGGGGGAUAACUAUUGGAAACGAUAGCUAAUACCGCAUAAUAUUGAUUAUUGCAUGAUAAUUGAUUGAAAGAUGCUAUUGCAUCACUACCAGAUGGACCUGCGUUGUAUUAGCUAGUAGGUGAGGUAACGGCUCACCUAGGCGACGAUACAUAGCCGACCUGAGAGGGUGAUCGGCCAAACUGGGACUGAGACACGGCCCAGACUCCUACGGGAGGCAGCAGUAGGGAAUCUUCGGCAAUGGACGAAAGUCUGACCGAGCAACGCCGCGUGAGUGAAGAAGGUUGUCGGAUCGUAAAGCUCUGUUGUAAGAGAAGAACGGGUGUGAGAGUGGAAAGUUCACACUGUGACGGUAUCUUACCAGAAAGGGACGGCUAACUACGUG